GUGCCAGCCGCCGCGGUAAUACAGAGGGUGCGAGCGUUGUCCGGAAUCACUGGGCGUAAAGGGCGCGUAGGCGGCGCGGUAAGCGUGCGGUGAAAGCCCGGGGCUCAACCCCGGGUCGGCCGUGCGGACUGCCGGGCUGGAGCACUGUAGAGGCAGGUGGAAUUCCGGGUGUAGCGGUGGAAUGCGUAGAGAUCCGGAAGAACACCGGUGGCGAAGGCGGCCUGCUGGGCAGUGGCUGACGCUGAGGCGCGACAGCGUGGGGAGCAAACAGGAUUAGAAACCCGAGUAGUCC
rnacentral:rRNA from 1 species